GCUGCGCCUACGGAACGAAAGUAUCUCUUCCGAAACCUCUUUUUUCAAGAACCAACUCCGAAGCAGCCAUGUAAAGAAGCUUCUUUGAAUUUCGACUCGCUCAGAUAUCGAACAGCGUUUGAUAUCGGUUUUCGAAUUUAAAGACCCAGGUUUUCAGAUAGUUUUGGUGGACUGACUGUAAGCUUUAUCGCCGAACGCAAAAAUGCUAUUUGUAGCGGCAAUCAUAAUACAGGCAAGCACCUUAAUGAUUCGGUCUUGUGCCUCGGUUGGGGCUGAAAUAAUAACAAGCGGGUUGUGCGGAGUUUAACGGUGGACAACCUGACACUCAAUUGAAAACGAAGACAAAAGGUACCGUGAACCGAAGCAGAUUUUUCAGAGAACACCAUCUUUGACUGUUUCGGCGAGUAAUUCCGACUUAAAGGCAUCCCAUCCACCCUCUUCAAUCAGCG